rnacentral:sRNA from 1 species
GGCAGCAGCCGGCCGGGCCUGGGAACGUGGCUGGUUGGAGGAGGUGGAUCACCGUUUCUGCGGUGGACGAUUUCGUCGGUGGUAGGCUGCUACCAUGAGGUUGAAUCAGAACACCUUGCUGCUGGGGAAGAAGGUGGUCCUUGUACCCUACACCUCGGAGCAUGUGCCCAGGUAUCUUUCCCGCUUGACAUGGGGUACCACGAGUGGAUGAAAUCAGAGGAGCUGCAGCGUUUGACAGCCUCAGAGCCGCUGACCCUGGAGCAGGAGUAUGCCAUGCAGCGCAGCUGGCGGGAAGAUGCAGACAAGUGUACCUUCAUUGUGCUGGAUGCCGAGAAGUGGCAGGCCCAGCCAGGCACCACUGAAGAGAGCUGCAUGGUGGGAGAUGUGAACCUCUUCCUCACGGAUCUAGAAGACCCCACCUUGGGGGAGAUCGAGGUCAUGAUUGCAGAGCCCAGCUGCAGGGGUAAGGGCCUUGGCACUGAGGCCGUUCUCGCGAUGCUGUCUUACGGUAAGAAAGUGUAAGCAGACAAUGCGGGAAGUGGCCAGGCCCCGGGUGAACCUUGUUCAGGUCUGAGGGUUGGGGGCAGGUGAAGGUUCCUCCUCUGCAGCUUGGGACAGGAGGGGUGGGGGUAGGCGCCUCCUUACUUGCCCCGUCUCAUCUCUGCGAGGAGUGACCACGCUAGGUCUGACCA